GUGGAGCAUGUGGUUUAAUUCGAAGAUACACGAAGAACCUUACCUGGCCUUGACAUGGUAGGAACCCUUAAGAGAUUAGGGGGUGCUAGCUUGCUAGAACCCUACACACAGGUGCUGCACGGCUGUCGUCAGCUCGUGUCGUGAGAUGUUGGGUUAAGUCCCGCAACGAGCGCAACCCUCGUCCUUAGUUGCUAACAGUUCGGCUGAGCACUCUAGGGAGACUGCCUUCGCAAGGAGGAGGAAGGUGAGGACGACGUCAAGUCAUCAUGGCCCUUACGGCCAGGGCUACACACGUGCUACAAGUGGGGCGUACAGAGAGCUGCGAUACCGCGAGGUGGAGCCAAUCUCUUAAAGCGUCUCUCAGUUCGGAUUGUUCUCUGCAACUCGAGAACAUGAAGCUGGAAUCACUAGUAAUCGCAGAUCAGCUAUGCUGCGGUGAAUACGUUCCCGGGUCUU
rnacentral:rRNA from 1 species